AACGUUUUUAGUGAAUUAAAUUUGAUAAAGUGUUAUACGCCAAUUGACACGGGCUUUGAUUGAGUUUAAUAUUGUAAUGAUAGACAUUUUUUAAUGAAAACUGAAUAAAUUUAUGCAUAAUAAAUAGCAAAAACAAAUUUUAAAGCUGAAAACAUCAUGAACAUAUUCAUCAGUGUCAAAAUGUGAGCCAGAGGUUCUGACGCACGUAUUAGUAUUCUGGGAGUAAGAAAAGUUGAUUAUUCAUCUGGAAUUAAUGUGUAUAAAUUGAUCGAAAUCGUUGCAAUAAUAUUAUUUUCUGAAAGAUUAAUACAUAAGUACAUUAUGAAGAAAAUAGCUCUCCUUCUCUUUGCCGCCGUGGUGCUUUGCUCACUCACAUCGAGCUACGGCCAAUACGAGGGCUAUCAUGGAGCAGGCAGGUACGGGUACCGCGGGUACCGCGGUGGGUACGGCGGGUACCGCGGUGGGUACCGCGGUGGGUACCGCGGCGGGUACCUCGGCGGGUACCGCGGCGGGUACCGCGGUGGGUACCGCGGUGGGUACCGCGGCGGGUACCGCGGUGGGUACGGCGGGUACCGCGGUGGGUACCGCGGUGGGUACCGCGGCGGGUACCGCGGUGGGUACGGCGGGUACCGCAGACAUUAUGAUUGAAGACAUUUUCCUCGACCUUAUUACCGGGGAGGAUAUCGUCCCUAUUAUUGACGAUCAUAUUAUCACAGGAGACGUUUUCCAUAUGACUAGAUUCUGCUACCAAAAAAACCCCGAAAAACAUGAAGAUACCUAGAGGAUAUGUAAUGUAAUAAAAUGGAGUGAAAAUUAAAUAUAAUGCAGUACUACAUUCGUUUGUUACGUUCAAACUAAAGAUGUUAAUAAAUUACUUGGACUUCCAUUGCACUUAUAAUAAUAAUAAUACGUUAAGUCACCACAUUAUUACAGCAAUAGUAUUGUUUAAAGUCAGUCAAUUAAAUGUUGAGUCAGAUAAUUUAUUAUUUGUAUACAAAUCGAAUUUUAUAUGUUUAUCAAAGAAUAAAAUAGUUGCUAUUUCA